rnacentral:tRNA from 1 species
ACUUAAAUAGCUUAAUAAUAAAGCUUUACAUUGAAGAUGUAAAAAUGGUUUAACCUUUAAGUG